rnacentral:rRNA from 1 species
UACAGAGGGUGCAAGCGUUAAUCGGAAUUACUGGGCGUAAAGCGUGCGCAGACGGUUGCGUAAGUCAGAUGUGAAAGCCCCGGGCUCAACCUGGGAAUUGCAUUUGAGACUGCGUAGCUAGGGUGCGGAAGAGGGAAGCGGAAUUUCCGGUGUAGCGGUGAAAUGACGUAGAUAUCGGAAGGAACACCAGUGGCGAAAGCGGCUUCCUGGUCCAGCACCGACGUUCAGGCACGAA